UAGUGACGCCCGUCCGUCGCAACCGUUCGAAAGUCUGUUUUACGGUCCAAAAUUCGAAAUACCAUUAAAUCACGUGCUACGGAAAUUUAACCUUCGGUGUUUUCUCAUCCAAUUAAGUUGCGAUGUUGUUAUUCAGAAUAUUGCCAGCAGAUUUUAAACCUUAAUAUCAACUUGUUAAGAAUGUGCAUCUUCAAAGUGAUGUUUUGGAUAGUAGUGAUUUUAUUAUUCACAUCAAAUGUUAAAAUCAAUAAGGAGAACGCGAGGAGUUAAUAACAAACGAUGAUUAAUGACUUCUAUGAACGCUACUUCAGGGUCUUGUAAAAACAAAAAUAUUCCAUUCUCCAUCGACUGGCCCGUUGUCAUGUCACACACUUGAAAAAACAACGAAAAAAAAAAUAAUACCGAUAUAUUGGUGUGAAGUGUAAGAAAUUGAUAUGUUUGGGGACUUUGGGAAAACUAGAUGCGGUUGACAACCAGAUAAGACGCGAGCUAUCACGAUAUCAAUAGAGGAUGUUUUUCAUCGUAUGAAAAGUGAAAUCUCUGCUACACUACUACUUACAACAUAAACGAGAGUAAAUACACUAGCUAAUGGUAGAGAAGUGGAAUAGUUGUCGUUCUUAUUCAACCGCGUAAAGAUAAUUCACUUUAAAAUAUCAUGACAUAUACUCGUGUAUUUUAUUGUGUAUGUAAUGAAUUUGUUUUAUAAGAAAACAUUUUAAUAUUUUUAAAUUAAAAUGUGAUAUAUUUUUAUACAGAGUGUUCAUUAAGUAAGAAACAGGUCAAUUGUUAUAAACAAUGAAAACAAUAGAAACACUUUUUCUUACUGAACACGUUAUUACAUGUACAGAACGACCAGUAAAAGUUACAAUUAGACUA